rnacentral:siRNA from 1 species
ACCCAGAAGGUGUUCGAUGGAAUG